UUUUUAGAGAGUUUGAUCCUGGCUCAGGAUGAACGCUGGCGGCGUGCCUAACACAUGCAAGUCGAACGAAGCUUGACGGAUGAUUUCUUCGGAAUGAAACCAGAUAUGACUUAGUGGCGGACGGGUGAGUAACACGUGAGCAACCUGCCUUUCAGAGGGGGAUAACGGCUGGAAACGGUCGCUAAUACCGCAUGACGUGUUCGGAUGGCAUCAUCUGAACAUCAAAGAUUUAUCGCUGAAAGAUGGGCUCGCGUCUGAUUAGAUAGUUGGUGGGGUAACGGCCUACCAAGUCGACGAUCAGUAGCCGGACUGAGAGGUUGAACGGCCACAUUGGGACUGAGAUACGGCCCAGACUCCUACGGGAGGCAGCAGUGGGGAAUAUUGCACAAUGGGGGAAACCCUGAUGCAGCAACGCCGCGUGAAGGAUGACGGUUUUCGGAUUGUAAACUUCUUUUCUUAGUGACGAAGACAGUGACGGUAGCUAAGGAAUAAGCAUCGGCUAACUACGUGCCAGCAGCCGCGGUAAUACGUAGGAUGCAAGCGUUAUCCGGAUUUACUGGGUGUAAAGGGAGCGCAGGCGGGACUGCAAGUUGGAUGUGAAAUACCGUGGCUUAACCACGGAACUGCAUCCAAAACUGUAGUUCUUGAGUGAAGUAGAGGCAAGCGGAAUUCCGAGUGUAGCGGUGAAAUGCGUAGAUAUUCGGAGGAACACCAGUGGCGAAGGCGGCUUGCUGGGCUUUAACUGACGCUGAGGCUCGAAAGUGUGGGGAGCAAACAGGAUUAGAUACCCUGGUAGUCCACACUGUAAACGAUGAUAGCUAGGUGUGGGGGGUCUGACCCCUUCCGUGCCGGAGUUAACGCAAUAAGCUAUCCACCUGGGGAGUACGACCGCAAGGUUGAAACUCAAAGGAAUUGACGGGGGCCCGCACAAGCAGUGGAUUAUGUGGUUUAAUUCGAAGCAACGCGAAGAACCUUACCAGGUCUUGACAUCCGACUAACGAGAUAGAGAUAUGUC
rnacentral:rRNA from 1 species